CAAGGCGAGAUGCUUACUAAGCCAUUUCUUGAGCUCUGCAAGACCAUCUUGCCUGUUAUAGAUAAGUUUGGAGCUGCUAUGACUCUCGUGAAAUCUGACAUUGGAGG